rnacentral:rRNA from 1 species
UACGUAGGCAGCGAGCGUUGUUCGGAGUUACUGGGCGUAAAGCGUGCGUAGGCGGUGGUUCAAGUCUGGUGUGAAAUCUCCCGGCUCAACUGGGAGGGUGCGCCGGAAACUGGGCCGCUGGAGUAUGGGAGAGGCAAGCGGAAUUCCAGGUGUAGCGGUGAAAUGCGUAGAUAUCUGGAGGAACACCCGUGGUGCAGACGGCUUGCUGGACCAUGACUGACGCUGAGGCACGAAAGCGUGGGUAGCAAACAGG